UACGUAGGGGGCAAGCGUUGUCCGGAAUUACUGGGCGUAAAGGGCGCGUAGGCGGCUCGUGAAGUCAGGAGUGAAAACUCGGGGCUCAACCCCGAGAUUGCUUUUGAAACCAGCGGGCUUGAGUGCAGGAGAGGAAAGCGGAAUUCCCAGUGUAGCGGUGAAAUGCGUAGAUAUUGGGAGGAACACCAGUGGCGAAAGCGGCUUUCUGGCCUGUAACUGACGCUGAGGCGCGAAAGCGUGGGGAG
rnacentral:rRNA from 1 species